CAGGAGUUAGAGCAGAUGUGGAGGCACAACGGGUGAUACCAGACACACCCAAGAACAUUAUGUUCGGACAUUUGAUCAUGACAGGAUCCAGGUGGAUGCGGUCCAUUGAGGAAAGAGUUUGUUCAGAGGUUUCUGGACAAAAUUAAUCCCAAAGAUGGGAAAAAGUGCACAUCCAGAAAAGGAGCAAGCAAAAAGACAAGGAACUUGGUGCAGAGAAAAGCUGUGGCCAUUAACUCCCAUGUGAACAGCUUCAUGCAGUCCCUGAUAGAGUUUGAAUGGGCGACUUCAAACUAAAGGCCAGUGUGGUCUGUCUGCCACAGUUUAAUGCAUUCAUUUUUAGUGUUCAAUGAAAUUCAAAUAGAAUAUUUAAAACUA